UAUAGUUAUGAGAGUGUGAUUGGUAGUUUGAUUUGUUUUAGAAUUUACUUUUAGAAACUCUAAUAAGUUUUAGAGUUAUAUUGAUAAGUUUAAGAGAGAGAUUUGUUAUUUUAGAGUUGUCGGAGUUAUUAUUUAAAUAACUCUGAUAUGUUUUAGAGUUGUGUUGGUAUGUCUUGGUGUUAAGGAUUAUUACCUUGUUAAUAGUCUGACACAAG
rnacentral:lncRNA from 1 species